CUGACUAUAAAUCCUGCAAUACAGUAAAGAAUGCAUAACAUUGGUACGUACACUGACUGACAACAUACUCCACCGACAUGGUCCUGGACCAACAAAGAAUAUACACAUGGUUAACGAUCACUGCUGCAAUACUUUCAGGUGGAGAAUGUGCAGAAACUGUCACUCAGCCUGCAGUUUUAACUGCAGUAGAAGGGACCGUGGCUACAAUUCCCUGUAAUCAUUCUAUAUCAGGUUAUCAAAAUAUCCAGUGGUACAAUCAGUCUGUAAAUGGUACCCCAAAGCUCAUACUGAUUACCUAUAAGAACCUCGAAAGCUCUGGACGAUUUACUGUUAGUGUUGAUAAAGGAAACAAGUCCACAAGCCUUUCAAUUGCUGAUGUGGAUGUUAAAGAUGCCGGUACCACCUACUACUGUGCAGUGAGUGACACAGUAUGAGAACACAAUGUUACAAUGGGACUAUAUCCCACUUGGUAUAAAAUGCCUUAUUCUAUAUAAUACAUGAAAUGGUUUGUGUUUUGUAAUAAAUUAAUAAGUAAAAACUAGUUAAUGACAUUCAGUUCAAAGAAAAAUUACUAAUAAGCACUGCAAAAAAGUAAUAAUAAAUGAAAUGUUUUGUGAAAAAAUAACAUUCACUUGAAAAGAUAAUUACAAAUGAAAUUGUUCAUAUUUUGUAAAAAGUGUGCAAUAAUUGUAUUGUUUUAUGACUCUUAUUUUGUCUUAAAAGAAAGAAGAAAUUGGCUUGCUUCACAGCACAGAGGGAUGAAGCAUAGACUAUGACUAGGUGAGGCAGAUGACCCAGGCUCAGUUAGUGAAGCUGAUCCCUGAGAAGUCGGUUGGGGGGAUAAGGACAGAGUGGCAAUUUUGCUCAUUUGCCAACCCCAGAGCAGAUGUGGGGUUUGUGGCCAGAAACUACCAAUUCUUAGUGAAGACAAAGGACUAUAGCCUAGUGGCCUAUGUAUUAUGAAUGGCAUAUUGAGUAUUAAUGGGCAAGUGGGUAGGGCAAAACAAAAACUGUCCUAAGCAUCUGUUAGGGAGGUGCUGUAUCAUCACACCCUUAUCGUGUAUCUUCCUGCUUUCUGAAACCUUCUGUGUAAAGAAUCGUCCUGUUAAAGUGGCCAUGUACAGACAAGUGCUGGGAUUGUCAUACCAGAAGACCAAGGUGGGCAUCUGAGAUAUGACAGAUUGCAGACAAAUGUGGCAGGAAUCUAUACAAUUAAAAGUGUCAGUAUUUCAUUUUAUUUGUAAAAAUCAGUGCAUGUUGAAUUCAUUUUAUCUGUAAAAAUCAGUGCAUGUUGAGUUAUCAUGUUACUUACUUUAAUUCAGUUAGUUUCAUUUUU